CUCCUACGGGAGGCAGCAGUGGGGAAUAUUGCACAAUGGGGGAAACCCUGAUGCAGCGACGCCGCGUGAAGGAUGAAGGUCUUCGGAUCGUAAACUUUUGUCUUCAGGGACGAUAAUGACGGUACCUCAGGAGGAAGCCACGGCUAACUACGUGCCAGCAGCCGCGGUAAUA
rnacentral:rRNA from 1 species